UACGUAGGGUGCAAGCGUUGUCCGGAAUUAUUGGGCGUAAAGAGCUUGUAGGCGGUUUGUCGCGUCUGCUGUGAAAUUUCGGGGCUCAACCCCGAACUUGCAGUGGGUACGGGCAGACUAGAGUGUGGUAGGGGAGACUGGAAUUCCUGGUGUAGCGGUGAAAUGCGCAGAUAUCGGGAGGAACACCAGAGGCGAAGGCGGCGAACUGGACAGUAACUGACACUCAACUGCGAAAGCGUGGGGAGCAAACAGG
rnacentral:rRNA from 1 species